rnacentral:rRNA from 1 species
UACGGAGGGUGCAAGCGUUAUCCGGAAUCAUUGGGUUUAAAGGGUCCGUAGGUGGAUAAUUAAGUCAGAGGUGAAAGUUUGCCGCUUAACGGUAAAAUUGCCUUUGAUACUGGUUGUCUUGAAUCAUUAUGAAGUGGUUAGAAUAUGUAGUGUAGCGGUGAAAUGCAUAGAUAUUACAUAGAAUACCAAUUGCGAAGGCAGAUCACUAAUAAUGUAUUGACACUGAUGGACGAAAGCGUGGGGAGCGAACAGG